AGAGCGAACGCUGGCGGCAGGCCUAAUACAUGCAAGUCGAACGCACCUUCGGGUGAGUGGCGGACGGGUGAGUAACACGUGGGAACGUGCCCUUUGGUUCGGAAUAAUCCGGGGAAACCUGGCCUAAUACCGAAUGUGCCCCCUCCUUUAACCAGGGGGGUGGGAAAGAUUUAUCGCCAUUGGAGCGGCCCGCGUCUGAUUAGCUAGUUGGUGAGGUAAAGGCCCACCAAGGCUACGAUCAGUAGCUGGUCUGAGAGGAUGAUCAGCCACACUGGGACUGAGACACGGCCCAGACUCCUACGGGAGGCAGCAGUAGGGAAUCUUGCGCAAUGGGCGAAAGCCUGACGCAGCCAUGCCGCGUGAAUGAUGAAGGUCUUAGGAUUGUAAAUUCUUUCAGCGGGAAGAUAAUGACGGUACCGCAGAAGAAGCUCCGGCUAACUCGCGCCAGCAGCCGC
rnacentral:rRNA from 1 species